rnacentral:tRNA from 1 species
GGGUCUCUCGUUCAUUGGCAGGACCGCCGGCUUUUACCCGGCAGAGCAGGGAUCAAUACCCUGGGGGCCCACCA